UACACUUCGGGGGCUCUUGGUGGCAGAUCGCUCGCAAGCGAUUUUGCAAACAGGGAACUCCGGUGCGCUACGAUUGAUGUGGCAAUUCCGGGACGGUCCGGCCGCUGUGUGCUGCCCGAAACGCGAAUCGCGUUUCAAACCAUCGCUCCUUCUUUGGAAGCGCCAUUGCUCGAGAUUGUUCGGGUGAGAAGGCAAUGAGGGAUGGUUGGCAGUGAGUCAGAAGACCUACUAAGAGCUAGACAGCUAA
rnacentral:ncRNA from 2 species